CGAACGCUGGCGGCGUGCCUAAUACAUGCAAGUCGAGCGGAUCUUUCCUUCGGGAAAGGUUAGCGGCGGACGGGUGAGUAACACGUAGGCAACCUGCCUGUAAGAUCGGGAUAACUACCGGAAACGGUAGCUAAGACCGGAUAGAUGGUUCCUUCGCAUGAGGGGGCCAAGAAACACGGAGCAAGCUGUGGCUUACAGAUGGGCCUGCGGCGCAUUAGCUGGUUGGUGAGGUAACGGCUCACCAAGGCGACGAUGCGUAGCCGACCUGAGAGGGUGAUCGGCCACACUGGGACUGAGACACGGCCCAGACUCCUACGGGAGGCAGCAGUAGGGAAUCUUCCGCAAUGGACGCAAGUCUGACGGAGCAACGCCGCGUGAGUGAUGAAGGUUUUCGGAUCGUAAAGCUCUGUUGCCCUGGACGAACGCUUGGGAGAGUAACUGCUCUCAGGUGACGGUACAGGAGAAGAAAGCCCCGGCUAACUACGUGCCAGCAGCC
rnacentral:rRNA from 1 species